UACGGGGGGAGCAAGCGUUGUUCGGAUUUACUGGGCGUAAAGGGCGCGUAGGCGGUCGUGACAAGUCACUUGUGAAAUCUCCGGGCUUAACUCGGAACGGUCAAGUGAUACUGUCGGACUAGAGUACAGAAGGGGCAACUGGAAUUCUCGGUGUAGCGGUGAAAUGCGUAGAUAUCGAGAGGAACACCUGCGGCGAAGGCGGUGUGCUGGGUUGCAACUGACGCUGAGAUGCGAAAGUGUGGGGAGCAAACGGG
rnacentral:rRNA from 1 species